UCAAACCCGGUGGUGGCGGGCAGGGCCGUGGGCGGGUUUGA
rnacentral:tRNA from 1 species